rnacentral:RNase_P_RNA from 1 species
GCUGCAGGUUCGGCAUUCGUCCCGAGAAUUCGGGGAGGAAAGUCCGGACAGCAACAGAGCACCGCACCACCUAACAGAUGGUUCCGCUGAGAGGCGGAAAGAAAGUGCCACAGAAAAUAGUAGCCCUGCCAAAAUCGGGGUGAUAGUGAAAAUGUGAGGUAAGAGCUCACAACUUACUGCAGCAAUGCAGCAAGUGGGUAAACCUUGCGGGCUGUAAGAUCAAAUAUACCAUGAACGGACUUCGAAAGAAGUUUAACAAAGUUGCUCAUUUUGUUUUGCCGAAAGGCAGAAGCAUGGGUGGGUAGAUCGCUUGAUUCGGGUUGGCAACAACCAGAACAGAUAAAUGAAUGCCUGAAUCUUAUGAGGUAAUGUGAUAGAAGAGAAAUCUUCCUUCGCUGAAGCUUCGGCAGAUGAAACAGAAUCCGGCUUAUGAACCUGCAGCAUUU